rnacentral:lncRNA from 1 species
CCCCCCUUCAUAGAGAUUUUCUUAGAUAAAAUUUGUAUCUUGUUAAGCUAAUGCACCACAAGCAUUGAUCUAUAGAAAUAUAGUACAUUCCAUAGAUAUUUGAACUUAACAAAUUUUAUUGCAUCUUUAUUGUUGUUCCAAUCUAGCUGCUUAGCUAAUGCUCGCUAGAAGGGUGUAGAACUAAAUGCUAUGAGUAGCGUCUGGUAAGUGUAUGAAGUUUUGCUGUCAUUUGGACAACCUACC